UUGCAAUGCCUUUAGCCUGUCUUUUUUUUUAAACGCCAAUUUCGUCGAAGCAAUUCAAUCAUACACCACCUUCCUUCUUCCUUCUAUGACAAAAGAAAAGAGAGAAAGGAACCAGAUGACACAUACAAUUAUUCUUUAAUAAAGAAAAUAAAUUAUGACCAAACAAGGACCUGGGGAAAAGAGUAGUAAAAAAGAGUCGACAAACGAAGGAAGAAUAUCAUAAACCCAUUAUCGUUUGUCAGUAACGAUUGUUUCUGGGAUCAUCAAUCCAUCCAAAAAGGAAAAAGUCACGAAAAAGCCCAAAUGGGAUUACGAUAAGCUUUCAAGAAAUUUCUUUUUUAUUUUCGCUUGACACUGCAAUUUCCCUCUCCACGACGACAAAUAGAAAAAAAGUAAAGAGUUUUUUUAAGCAACCUGGACGGCGGUUUGCUGAGGAACGGCAUCGCUAGACUCAGAAGCAAUGCGAGACAUACGCUCAGCAUGGACAUGAGGGUGCAUGCCAGGCUCGUUCUCAAUGAUCUCGCUAGUGUCGGAUUGAACGUCGUCUUGUAAGUGGGUGACUUGCUCAACGGGGACGGGCUCACCUUGAGCCUCAUACUCGUUCCAGGAACGAGCGUCACUUUGGGCAUCAUCCUCGAUUUGAGGCUUGACAAAGUUGACGGCGGGUUGGCUGGGAACCCAAGAGCUCAAGGCGUGCUCAGCAUCCAUGACGAUUUGGCGGGAAGUCUCAUAACCAUCGUAGGCAGGACGAGCCUCACCGGGAGUGACGGGGGUGUCGUCAAUCAAGUUCAACAAAUGUCUGCCAUAGGUGGCAAUGAGGUUGAGCUUCUCGGCAUGCUCGUGGAGGGCAUCCAAGUUGAAGGUCAUGGCUUGCUUGAACUUUUCACGGGUGGUGUUGGAAAGUUGAGCCUCGGCAACCAAACAGGCAGCCUCCUCACGAACAAGCUCUUGCUCCAUGGUGACCAAGCGAGGGGAUUCAGGAUCCUUAUGCUUAAGAGCAUAGAUUUGAUCCAAGAGCUUUUGCUUCUUCUCACGAGAGGGUUGGACAGAGGACUCGAUGUUACGGAUGGACUUCAACGUCAUACGGUAUUGGUCAUAACGAUCGAUCAAGUAGUUCUCCAACUCGGCCAUCUCGUAAAACAAGACACCCAAUUUGUCGGUGACGUCGCUGAUAUCGUCAUCGCAGUCCUCACCCCAGUAGGAAAGUUGGCGAGCACAAUCACGACGGCCACGGAUGGUGACCUCCAUACUGCGCAUCACGUUCUUUUCCAUCUUGACCAAGACAGCCAAACGCUUAGCCAAGUCAGGGGUGAAGGUGGCAGCGUGGUUGAUACGCAUGGUAUGACUCAAGGGGGCAAACAAACGACCACUACGAGUGGAAGAGGAGGGAGGAGGGGGGUUUAACAAUUGUGAGGCCGUAGGGGCACGGCUGUUUCUUAAAGAGUACGCACGGUUCAUCAUCUUGCAGAAAUAGAAAUAGAUGUGGGUAAAUAAGAAGAGAUGGUAGUAAUAAUAAAAAUAAGUG